GGGGAUUUAGUUCAGUGGUAGAGCGCUUGCCUAGGAAGCGCAAGGCCCUGGGUUCAAUCCCCA
rnacentral:tRNA from 1 species